rnacentral:rRNA from 1 species
AGAGUGAACGCUGGCGGUAGGCCUAACACAUGCAAGUCGAACGGCAGCACAGUGGUAGCAAUACCAUGGGUGGCGAGUGGCGGACGGGUGAGGAAUACAUCGGAAUCUACCUUUUCGUGGGGGAUAACGUAGGGAAACUUACGCUAAUACCGCAUACGCCCUUCGGGGGAAAGCCGGGGAUCGCAAGACCUGGCGCGGAUAGAUGAGCCGAUGUCGGAUUAGCUAGUUGGUGAGGUAAUGGCUCACCAAGGCGACGAUCCGUAGC